UCAUGUGUUUUGAUUGCUAUCCAGAGCUCAAAAGCUAAAGUCGUUGCCAACACCAAGGAAGUGGGAUGCUUUUGUGUUGCUGUCUGCCUCUGAGCGCCAUGUGCUCGGAGCAUCAAAGACAAUCUGGAAUGGUAGUUGGUAAUUAUAAAUCGACAUAAAUAUGCUUCUAAGACAUCAGCUCAGAUUGAUACAAAAUGAAGAGCUGAGGGAAAGACUGCCUCUGACCCGGCCAAGAUUCUGGAAUCCUUUGAGCCAAGAUUUGAUUUAAAUGAAUUCUGCCAAAGGUUGUCUUCCUCAUCCCUCUUAAAGACCAAAAGGAGACUAGAGACUCAAGUGGAUAUCACCCAGGGUUUGCCAGUUGCCUAGAACACCUUGAAGAUCUGUUAUCUCCUAUUACCGACACGCUGACUUUUUAUGACAGGUGACAUCAUCUCCAGUUUAUGGACAAUGAGAAACCUUCCACAGAUGGGCCAUGCUUGAGGAAGCAGUCAUUCCAGUGAUUUGUUUCUGGAAAGCACAUGAUAUGUUAAUUUGCAGAGCCUGACACAUCCCUGGGUGAUCCAUCCAUCACUCUGAAGCCGCCAUUGACUUGAGGAUUCCUGCUUAAUGUAUGAUUAAAUGGAAACCCCGGGAACACAGAUUUCCUCUUAGUAAGCAUUGUGGAGGACUUUGAACAGAUGGUGUGGCACACAUUCUGAAGUCCAAAGUACCAGUCACCUCUUUCCAUGACAGAUUCAUUUUAUGAUGCUCAUGGCAUACACACAUCUCCCAUUCAGGAUGAAUUGUUUGUUGAUUCUCCUCUUUUCAUGAGAGGAGUAGAAGCAGGUUUUAAUAAUAUAUGGACCUCUAUCCCCAAUGGCCACUACUACACAAAGGGGUCAUUUGUGCAGUUAAUGCCUAGGGUGACAGUAACUUCAGAGAAGCCUGGGAAGCAUGCAGCUUGGAGUCUUCUAUCCAAUGUGGGUGAUACAGUAGCAAUGACUAGUCUUCGUUGGUUUCAGAUGGCUACACCAAAAUCAACUAAAACUCAGUAUCAUGGCAUGCCUGUGAAGGAUUUUCUUUGCUAGGAUCAUUUGAAGUGAGAAGACCCACCUUAAGUCCAGGUUAUUUGAAGACACAAAUCUGGGCUUUAUCUUUUGGUGGCAGUUCACCUAUAAGGACAUGGAAGACGGGAGCUUUUGCUUCUUGUCUGCCUGCCCUCACUUUGGCUGAAUUCUCUCUCUGCUUGGAAGUCCCUCCUACAUCUCCUGCCUAGCUAUUGGUGGUUCAGCAUUUUGUUACACCAAUCACAACAAUAUAUUUUCACAAAGUGUAUGAACAUCCCAUAACAGGGAAAAACUAUUAGGGCAGUACUUGGCUUACAGUGGUUCAUCUUUCCUGAUGCUGUGGCUGGUACUACAUCCAACUUCUUCAGAAUUCCGAUGUCUGAAGACCAGCAACUCUUCAGGAAUCGUAACCAGGUUGAGACUGCUGAGACAUCCAGCCUCACAGAUUUGAACAACGACUGCAUUCUUGGCCUUUCCAUCCUGGGAAAAUCCAUUGUUAGACUAUCCAGACCACAGUCUGAACCUAGUCUUCCUGCUGGGGUUUCCCCUUUACUCUGCCUCUCAAACACAAUGAAUGUAUAGUCGUCCACAAAA